rnacentral:rRNA from 1 species
AUUGAACGCUGGCGGCAUGCCUUACACAUGCAAGUCGAACGGCAGCACGGAGCUUGCUCUGGUGGCGAGUGGCGAACGGGUGAGUAAUAUAUCGGAACGUACCCUAGAGUGGGGGAUAACGUAGCGAAAGUUACGCUAAUACCGCAUACGAUCUAAGGAUGAAAGUGGGGGAUCGCAAGACCUCAUGCUCGUGGAGCGGCCGAUAUCUGAUUAGGUAGUUGGUGGGGUAAAGGCUCACCAAGCCAACGAUCUGUAGCUGGUCUGAGAGGACGACCAGCCACACUGGAACUGAGACACGGUCCAGACUCCUACGGGAGGCAGCAGUGGGGAAUUUUGGACAAUGGGCGCAAGCCUGAUGCAGCAACGCCGCGUGAGGGAUGAAGGCCUUCGGUGUAAACCUCUUUAGCAGGGAAGAAGCGAAAGUGACGGUACCUGCAGAAAAAGCACCGGCUAACACUGCCAGCAGCCGC